rnacentral:lncRNA from 1 species
ACAAUAUGCUCAAUAUGUGCAAAUACAACAUGGCAUCACAACAAGACUCUACGACUCAGAGUAUUUAUUCAUUAGGCUCCGAGGAGCCAAGUAUUACAAACAUGGGUAUCAUGACCCAACAUACAGAGCAUACAAGCAACAAGCACAUGCGGAAGCUUAACUUGUCUGGGUACAGACAACUACAAAUGAAGAAGGCUGAGAAGCCUGACUCUCUACAAGACCCUCCCAAGGGUACAAGAUCGUAGCUGAGGUAACAAGCUAAACGUUGAAAUCCACGCGGAACUACUAGCGAGACUGAAGUCCCUCUGCAAAACAUAAAAUAAGCAAAUGUGAGUACAAAUGUACCCAGCAAGACUUACAUCAGAACUAUCUACAUAUGCAUCGGUAUCAACAAAGGGGUGGUGGAGUUUAACUGCAGCAAGCCAGCUUUGACUCGGUGGCUAUCCUGAACUACGACUGCAAGUAACUCUUUUGAGGUGGCGCACACGAGUCCACAUAUUCACCAUACCAAUACACCACUAUGGAUCCGCUCCCGUCUCCCUACGAGAACGCCAUCCAUAGCACUCACGCUUAUCUUGCGCAUUUUAGAGUACCCACUUUCACUUGUCUAUGAACUGUACAGGCAACCCAGAAGUCCUUUUCCGCGGACACGGCUAUUCGAAUAGAUGAUGUUAACCCUGCAGGGGUGUACUUCCUCACACACGCUCUCGCCACUUACCACCAUGUACACGUUGUGUAUCUCGGCAACCUUCAAAUGGAAGCCUGGCGAGGGAGUCGGCCACGACCUGACUAACCACACAAGUCUCUAGUCCAGGUUUAUCGCCUAUUCGGGUUCCAUCCGCAAGGAGAUCCGGCCGGGGUGUCGCUCACGGCCCCAAAUGAUGUGAGCAGGGUUCCCAAGCCCACCAUCCGGGUGCCACUUGGUACAUUGUGCCACUGUGCCUAGUAUGUCCCAAGCCCACCUGUACCAGGUGCCACUUGGUAGACUACUAACACUACCUACAAACACCAGAAACUAGUUGCAACUCCUGGACAGAGAUCAGGUUGAUUAAUAAGUCGAGAGAGCUUGGAGCGCCCGGAGCCCAAUGUGUGGUAGUAACUGUUCAUGGAUCACAAACACAGAACUCAGUUCCCGAGGGCGGUUUCAAUGAGACAACCCACCAUGUACUCCUACAUGGCCUCUCACCGCUACCUUUACCAAAUCGUGUUCACACACUUAGCUCUCAACAGUAGGACAUGUUCACAACUUUCCAAUUCACCCCCGGUGAAUCAGACCUGACACAACUCUAAGCAAUAGCAGGCAUGACAAACAAGCAUGAAUGAGUAGGCACAUCAGGGCUCAAACAAAUCCUACUCAUGCUAGUGGGUUUCAUCUAUUUACUGUGGCAAUGACAGGUCAUGCAGAGGAAAGGGGUUCAACUACCGCAGCAUGUAACAGUUGAAUCGAUGUUGUCCUAAUGCAGUAAAAGAGAGCAGGAGCGAGAGAGUGGGAUUGUAUCAGAAUGAACAAGGGGGUUUUGCUUGCCUGGCACUUCUGAAGAUAGUAUAGCUCUUCAUCGGUGUCAUCGAUCUCAUCGUCGGAACCACGUCUACUGAGAGGGGACAAUUACCGGCAAACAAGGAAGAACACAAUCAAUGCAAUGCACAAUAUGAUGCAUGAUCAUGACAUGGUAAUAUGAGUGUGUUGACCUAAUGCAACUACAACCAGAUGGGUUUGGGUCAUUUUGAACCAAAGGUUCAACCCCAAAUUCAAAUUAUGAAUCUAAAUAGUGCCUUAUCAUGUUUUGAACUAAACAGCAAGGUUAAGUUAUUUUAACAUGCAUGAAACCAGUACAGAUGGAUAGAUUGGAUUUUUCUGAUCAUUUUUCAUAUAUAAAUCUUUGUAUUUGGAGUUACAGAUUAAUUUCUAUGAUUUUUAGAAGUUUGCUCUAUUUUCUGGAAUUUCCUGAAAAGAAUAAAUCCAGAAAAGGGCAUUAUUGCGUCAGCAUUGCGUCAUGCUGACCUCAGCAAGUCAACAGACCCGGUCCAGGUCAAACCUGACUAGUGGGACCCACUGGUCAGUGUCUUAGCACUGAUUAGGGUCGCUGACGUGUGGGCACAGUCAAUGGCCACGUCAACAUGGUCAAUGCUGACGCGUGGGGCCACUGGGAUUAGUUAAUACUAAGCAGAAACUUAAUCUAAGCUUAAUUAGGUAGCGGGGCCCUGCUGUCAGUCUCACUAGGUGGUAACUAACUGCGUCAUUAGCCUAAACUAAUCUGCCACAUCACCAUCGCCGGAGUUACGCCGGCGGUGACCAAAACGCGGUGGGGCGCACUGGGUUGGCUCGGGUUUCGCCUACAGGCGAUGGUUUUGAGCGCGGGGAGGCUCUACGGGGAGCUGCUGCUCGCGCGCAGCCGAUGGGGCGGGCGGCGGGAGCUGAGGUGGCCGGAGCCCGGCGGAAACAAGCUCGCGGCGGCGGCCGGAGCUCGGCGAACUCGGGCCCGGCGUUGUGGUGCACGGGAGCAAGAACAGCUGGGUGCUACGGGCUACUGCAGACGCUCUGGUUGCGGUGACGCGCUCAUACGUGGUGCGGGUUUGCUCUAGCCACGGCAGCGUCAUGGCCGGCGGCGAGGAACUCUCGGGCUCGACGGAGUCCGCGGUUAGAGGAAGAAAUCGGCAUCGGGGAGAGAGAGAUUCGGUGCGGAGGCUCACAGCGAGGCCAACGAGCGCGAUGGCGAGGUCGGGGACGCUCUGUAGCUCCCAAAUCGACGGCGAGGAUCCACGGCGACCGACGAGGGGAACGGCGGUGCUGGCGGCGUCAAGGGGCUUCAGGCAUCAUGUGGCUCGGUGAGGAGGAAGAGGGGGACGGGUCGGAGCUUCUUGGCGCGUCGGCGAGGUGUGGGGUGGCCGGUGGCCGCGGUGGUGCUCGUCGGCGGCGGCGGGCGCGUUCGGUGAGGUGGGGAACGGCGAG